CCCCCCCACAGUGGCAAACCACUCGAAGAUCGAGUCACCAGAGCCACAGAGCACCACAACACUCACUUCACAAAUACGAAUAUGAGGCAGACAGACGGCUGAUCGGACUCCCCUCUUGGGGUUCGUCACUCACACAGUUCAACGCCUCGCCUGGCACAUGGGAGAGGAUUUUUGGAUAUGGGUACAAGAAUUCGCUAUAUCUGGCAAGAUCCUCACUUUAAAGCAGCAUUGGCGCUAUUUUGAGGGGCCCCCGCAUGUGGUUGCCAGUGAAACAGCCCUCAGGCCUCCGCAACUCAAGAGAAAGAUACAACAUGAAGAUACUACCAUAGAGAGAUAGAUGUUUCUGCGUUUUGUUGUUUAUGUUCUGUUAAAUUUUUAUGAUCAUGGCACUUGGGAUCCCCAUCUCCACUCAAUUAUGCUCGACAGCUCGACGGCGGCGCCCGACUUUUGAGUUCUGAGAAAAUCUGUGUGGGGUAGUUUUUCCAACUCAUGUUUCCCCCUGAUCUCUCUGAUGUGAUCAGAAACGGUUCUUUGAUGGCUGAUCGCUUAAUCCAGAGUUAAAAUAUAAUUAUGUACUCGAGUAUGCUUGUAA